CUGUGUGGACAGUAAUGACCGCACGUUUCCGAUUGCCUGCUGGCAGAACCUACAAUGUACGAGCAUCUGAGCUGGCACGAGACAGGCAGCAUACGGAGGUGGUCUGCAACGUUCUUCUCCUGGAUAACACUGUACAAGCUUUCAGAGUUAAUAAACAUGAUCAGGGACACGUUCUGUUGGAUAUAGUCUUCAAGCAUCUCGAUUUGACAGAGAGAGAUUACUUUGGUUUACAGUUGGCUGAUGAACCCACUGAUAACCCUAGGUGGCUGGAUCCAAACAAACCUAUCAGGAAACAAUUAAAAAGAGGGUCUCCUCACAGUCUGAACUUCAGAGUCAAGUUUUUUGUAAGUGACCCAAACAAGCUCCAAGAAGAAUAUACAAGGUACCAGUAUUUUUUGCAAAUUAAGCAGGACAUUCUUACUGGAAGAUUGCCCUGUCCUUAUAAUACUGCUGCUCUUUUGGCUUCCUAUGCUGUUCAGUCCGAGCUGGGAGACUACAACCAUUCAGAAAACUUGCCAGGCUACCUCUCAGACUAUUCUUUCAUCCCUAGCCAGCCUCAAGACUUUGAAAAAGAAAUAGCAAAAUUACAUCAGCAGCACAUAGGGUUGUCUCCUGCAGAAGCAGAGUUCAGUUAUCUCAAUACAGCGCGUACCUUAGAACUUUAUGGAGUUGAAUUGCACUAUGCAAGGGAUCAGAGUAACAAUGAAAUAAUGAUUGGAGUGAUGUCAGGGGGAAUACUAAUUUAUAAGAACAGAGUACGAAUUAACACCUUUCCAUGGUUGAAGAUUGUAAAAAUUUCUUUUAAGUGCAAACAAUUUUUUAUUCAACUUAGGAAAGAAUUGCAUGAAUCUAGAGAAACGUUACUGGGAUUCAAUAUGGUGAAUUAUCGAGCAUGUAAGAAUUUGUGGAAAGCUUGUGUUGAACAUCACACAUUCUUCCGUUUGGACAGACCGCUGCCGCCUCAGAAGAACUUUUUUGCACAUUAUUUCACUUUGGGUUCAAAGUUCCGGUACUGCGGGAGAACAGAGGUCCAGUCUGUGCAGUAUGGUAAAGAGAAAGCAAACAAAGACAGGGUAUUUGCAAGAUCCCCCAGUAAACCCUUGUCACGGAAACUAAUGAGUGGGAUGGACUGGGAAGUAGUGAGCAGGAACUCGCUGUCUGAUGACAGGUUAGAAACCCAGAGCCUGCCGUCGCGUUCUCCCCCUGGGACCCCAAAUCAUCGCAACUCUGCCUUCACUCAAGAAGGAGCCCGUUUACGACCCUCAUCGGUUGGACAUUUAGUGGACCAUGUAGUUCACGCUUCACCAAGUGAAGUAUUUGUGAAUCACAGAUCUCCAUCUUCCACCCAGGCUAAUAGCAUAAUACUGGAAUCAUCACCAUCUCAAGAGACUCCUAUAGAUGGGCAGCCUCCUGCAUUACCACCCAAACAAUUUAAAAGGAACAGUUGGAACCAAAUUCAUCAUUCACACUCACAGCAAGAACUGGAUAACCAUGUUAAUGAAACGUUUGAUGUUCCUGUGUCGCCUGAAAAAUCCACACCCAAUGGGGGUGUCCCCCAUGACAAUCUUGUUAUGAUCAAAAUGAAACCAGAUGAAAAUGGAAGGUUUGGCUUCAAUGUAAAGGGUGGAUAUGAUCAGAAGAUGCCAGUUAUAGUGUCGAGGGUAGCUCCAGGAACACCUGCUGAUCUCUGUGUCCCUCGUUUGAAUGAAGGGGACCAGGUUGUACUGAUUAACGGCAGGGAUAUAGCAGAACAUACCCAUGAUCAAGUUGUUAUGUUUAUUAAAGCUAGCUGUGAGAGACACUCAGGGGAACUUGUGCUCCUAGUUCGACCUAAUGCUGUCUAUGAUGUUGUGGAAGAGAAGCUGGAGAGUGAGCCUGACUUCCAGUACAUCCCUGAGAAGUCUCCACUUGGUGUCCAUCAGGAUGAUAAUGCUCUAAGGGAAUCCAUGAUUCAGCUAGCAGAGGGGCUUAUCACUGGAACUGUUUUGGCUCAGUUUGAUCAAUUGUAUAGGAAAAAGCCUGGAAUGACAAUGUCUUGUGCCAAAUUACCUCAAAACAUUUCCAAAAAUAGAUACAGAGACAUUUCGCCUUAUGAUGCUACACGGGUUAUUUUAAAAAGUAAUGAAGAUUACAUCAAUGCAAAUUAUAUAAAUAUGGAAAUCCCUUCCUCCACAAUAAUAAACCAGUACAUUGCUUGUCAAGGUCCAUUACCAAACACUUGUCCUGAUUUUUGGCAGAUGACUUGGGAACAGGGCUCAUCUAUGGUUGUAAUGUUAACUACCCAAGUUGAACGGGGCAGAGCAGACUCCCUGCUCUAAAGCUGAUCAUGAGGCUACUGACAUCACUAUCCCACUGCAUGCCAGGAUGUCUCAGUGGAGCAGGAAGUCUGCAAAUCUGGCUGCUCUUAAAGAAUCGCCAGGUUAAAUGCCAUCAGUACUGGCCAGAGCCAUCAGGAAGCUCAUCAUAUGGGAAUUUCCAGAUUACCUGCCAUUUAGAAGAAGGAAAUCCUGCUUACGUCUUUCGAGAAAUGACACUGACUAACCUGGAGAAAGAGGAAAGCCGCCAACUAACUCAAAUUCAGUAUAUAGCAUGGCCUGAUCAUGGGGUUCCUGAUGAUUCGAGUGAUUUCCUAGAUUUUGUGUGUCUUGUGCGAAAGAAGAGGGCUGGCAGAGAAGAACCUGUUGUCGUUCAUUGCAGCGCUGGGAUUGGACGGACAGGAGUUCUUAUCACUAUGGAGACAGCUAUGUGUCUCAUUGAAUGCAAUCAGCCUGUUUAUCCAUUAGAUAUUGUAAGAACCAUGAGAGAUCAGAGAGCCAUGAUGAUCCAAACACCUAGUCAAUACAGAUUUGUAUGUGAAGCUAUUUUGAAGGUGUAUGAAGAAGGAUUUGUUAAGCCUCUAAAAGCGUCACUGCAUAAAUAAAUAGCAAAAAAGCUAGGAUAUCAGUUGAAGAAUCCUGUCCUCUCUAAUGAACUGGCAGCAUUCUUUGUGCCAUAAUACUGCUUGCAGGAAACAAUAGUGAAGUACAGCAAAGAAUUGACAAAGGACUUUGAAAACUUCAGCACUGUUGCACUUUACGUUGAAACAAAAUCAGUCUCUGAAACUCUUCUAACCUUCAUGUGUUUGAAGACUUUAUUUUCAUGCUUUGCUCCGAACAUACCAUAAACUGAAAGAACUAAUUGUGUUCAGGGUAAUCUACGAUAUUUCGUUGUAGUGCCAUAUACUGCGCUUCUGGUUGAAUUGCUACAAACAAGGCUUGGAAUUAUUUCACUCUGUUUUACACCCAUGUCUCUUUAAAGGAAAAAAAAAAAAAAAAAGAAAAAAUACACUAAGCCAUGGUCUUUUCCAGUGCUAGGUUUAUUUACUAUGUACAGACUCUCACUUUUGUUUUUUACAACAUUAGCAAUAUUGCCAAUACUAGAUAGAUACACACUGCCUACUGAUGCAGCACACUUUGUCCUACACCCUUAUUAGAGACCAGCUGGUUGUUAGAGGAAAGCUGGCAUCUGUGUUAACCCAGCAGUAGCUGCAUAAUGCCCACUUACCAGCAUCUUGUAAAAUAAAUAAAUAAUAAUAAACAGCAUUUCUUUGACACAACUUGUGUGUCAUACACUGGUGUAUUCUGAUUCAUGUGACUUAAGAUUACGUGAUGGGAACUAGUGCAUGCAUUAUGUCUUAACCCCUUAAGUGCCUUGAGACUUACAGCGUACAUCCAGUGAAAAGGCACUCAUGGUUCUGUGGGGGUGGUAUUGUCCUGUCAUAUUUAUCUUAAUGGGUUCAGAUUUUGAAAACGGCCCUUGGUGCUUGGAAUACGUUACUGCAAGGGGUCAUGGAAAUACCAUUCCCUCUUUUCUUAUACAAGUACCUGCAUGCUACUCUUAGUAGCAAAAGCACCUCUGCCAACUUAAUGAAUGAGCAUUGUUUGCUGCUGUGUUGUAAUUAUGUGGAAAAACCUGACACAUUCCUUCAGUCCUUUCAACUAGUCACUAACUAGCAGCUUACCAUGAAAUGCUACUAGGUCUUUGGAAGCUGAUACUUUGUUUUAUCCUUUUAUUGAGAAUAGCUGUCUUACUCAAUUAGAACGUAAUUGUUUCAUAGCACUGAUACUUAAGUUAAAUUUGCAAUCGGACGUGAUUCAAUUCCCUUAUCUGCUAACCAGUUAUCUUUUUUAAGUCCUCAUAGUUGAUUUCAAGCCAUGUUCGUACAGGUCUGCCUUUUUUUUUUUUUGUUAAUAGUUUGGGGAGGGGGCAAAGGGAAGAGAACGCUAUCAAGUUGUCCCAAAACUUUAAUUCUUUCAUGAACCCAGUCAUUUUGUUCUGUUUGUGCAAAAUUACAGUUUGUAUGCAUUGCCUCUUAUUUAGGUAGCACAUUUGUAACAAAUGUCUGUCUGAUGCAGUAUCUGAGCUCACUCUAAGGGUACAUAUAUAGUCCCAUUUUUAAUAUUUUUCCAGUACAGGAAAGAACAAGUCUGAAAUAAAAUGUCCGGUUUAAUAUACUGUAAGAAAAAAAGUCAGUCACUUCUCUGACUGCCCUGCAGCAACAUAAGUUUGUGCCCUGUAUUUAAAAGUUUUAACUUAUUGUAUCGGUUUCCUGAAACUGUUUUAUCCAGUCAAUUUUGUUAUAAGCUAUAUAGAGCAUAGAAUUAAAAUGGAAAGUUCUACACUGAAAAAGUUUUUAACUAUUGAAGAAUUAUAUUAUAUAAUAUACUGUGUUCUAUGGAUGUUAGAAAGAGAUCACCUAUGAAGUAUUAAGUGAAAAGGGAUUCAGGCAAAGUGAAAUCCUGGCUAAUGAAUUAGUAAUAAGCAAAAAAA